rnacentral:lncRNA from 1 species
CCUAUUUCUUAAUCUAGAACAUUCAAGGAUGACUUUUUUCCCAAUGAAAAUAUGAUAAAUGAUUGUGAAGAACUCAUUAAUAACUCAAGCACGCAUGCUGUUUCUGUUCAAAAGUCAGAAGUAAAAAUGCACACUGAUAUUAAUGAGAUUUUAAAUAAAAUUAAAUUGGGGAAGAAUUUGAGAAAAUCAUAUGCACCGAUAUUUGAAGUAAAUCUACGCUUGCAAAUUCCCGCUGAGAGUGAUUCCUCAGAAAAUUCUGAAGAGAGUUUUUAUGAGCCUGAGCAGGACCCUAAAAAAUGUAUGACAUAUGAAGAUGAGAUGUCAAAAAGCAGUCAAGAAAAAAGUUGCUUAAGUGAACAACUGUUCCCUAAUCCCAAGAAACCAAAAAAUUUUACUUUCAACCUUGAAGAUAUCCUUUCAGGUAUGACAAGUGAGACCCCUAGAAAUGAAGGGAAAUAGCUUAACAGCUAGAAGACAAGG